GGCAGAACUCUGCAGCGACCAGGGCCAUGAGGCUCCUGAAGUCAUCAGGGUGGUGGGAGAUGUGGAGCGAAGCCAUCCCUAGGAAAGGGGGGAGAAUGAUAACGGAGAUGGGUAACAAACGCUAACGUUAGCUAAAAAUAUGGGGGUCACAAACCAGAUUUGUCCUGCUACGUGUUAUGACUGGGAUCACAUGGAGUCUUCAGUGCACCCUUGGGCCUGACAGUCAGGUAGGAGAAUUCCUUUUAUGGGUUAGGCUACACAUCAAUGCACAUCUGAGGGAGAUUAGGCUAAUAGUUUGACAUGUGUAUUUUCCACCAAGAAAAAUCUUUAUCAGUGCAUAAUUCAUUUUCCGACAGUGUCACACUGUUCCUUAUUAUAUUCACAGACACAGUUCUUAGUCUAUAGCAAAGACACUCAUUAUUUCCUUUGUCUGUAGAUUUAGGUUGUUUGGAUGCAUUCCAUACUAACAGCUGCAUGGCUUUUGGGUGUGAUAGUUUUGGGUUGGGCUACAUGCUGCGUUCAUAACCAAGUGGGAAGGUACUAAUUACCAGUUGUCAAGUCGUAAAUAACAGUUGGAUGCAUUCUUAACUCGUUG